rnacentral:rRNA from 1 species
GACGAACGCUUGCGGCGUGCUUAACACAUGCAAGUCGAACGGAAAGGCCCUGCUUUUGUGGGGUGCUCGAGUGGCGAACGGGUGAGUAACACGUGAGUAACCUGCCCUUGACUUUGGGAUAACUUCAGGAAACUGGGGCUAAUACCGGAUAGGAGCUCCUGCUGCAUGGUGGGGGUUGGAAAGUUUCGGCGGUUGGGGAUGGACUCGCGGCUUAUCAGCUUGUUGGUGGGGUAGUGGCUUACCAAGGCUUUGACGGGUAGCCGGCCUGAGAGGGUGACCGGCCACAUUGGGACUGAGAUACGGCCCAGACUCCUACGGGAGGCAGCAGUGGGGAAUAUUGCACAAUGGGCGGAAGCCUGAUGCAGCAACGCCGCGUGCGGGAUGACGGCCUUCGGGUUGUAAACCGCUUUCGCCUGUGACGAAGCGUGAGUGACGGUAAUGGGUAAAGAAGCACCGGCUAACUACGUGCCAGCAGCCGCGGUGAUACGUAGGGUGCGAGCGUUGUCCGGAUUUAUUGGGCGUAAAGGGCUCGUAGGUGGUUGAUCGCGUCGGAAGUGUAAUCUUGGGGCUUAACCCUGAGCGUGCUUUCGAUACGGGUUGACUUGAGGAAGGUAGGGGAGAAUGGAAUUCCUGGUGGAGCGGUGGAAUGCGCAGAUAUCAGGAGGAACACCAGUGGCGAAGGCGGUUCUCUGGGCCUUUCCUGACGCUGAGGAGCGAAAGCGUGGGGAGCGAACAGGCUUAGAUACCCUGGUAGUCCACGCUGUAAACGGUGGGUACUAGGUGUGGGGUCCAUUCCACGGGUUCCGUGCCGUAGCUAACGCUUUAAGUACCCCGCCUGGGGAGUACGGCCGCAAGGCUAAAACUCAAAGGAAUUGACGGGGCCCCGCACAAGCGGCGGAGCAUGCGGAUUAAUUCGAUGCAACGCGUAGAACCUUACCUGGGUUUGACAUGGAUCGGGAGUGCUCAGAGAUGGGUGUGCCUCUUUUGGGGUCGGUUCACAGGUGGUGCAUGGCUGUCGUCAGCUCGUGUCGUGAGAUGUUGGGUUAAGUCCCGCAACGAGCGCAACCCUUGUUCACUGUUGCCAGCACGUUAUGGUGGGGACUCAGUGGAGACCGCCGGGGUCAACUCGGAGGAAGGUGGGGAUGACGUCAAGUCAUCAUGCCCCUUAUGUCCAGGGCUUCACGCAUGCUACAAUGGCUGGUACAGAGAGUGGCGAGCCUGUGAGGGUGAGCGAAUCUCGGAAAGCCGGUCUCAGUUCGGAUUGGGGUCUGCAACUCGACCUCAUGAAGUCGGAGUCGCUAGUAAUCGCAGAUCAGCAACGCUGCGGCGAAUACGUUCCCGGGGCU